CCUACGGGAGGCAGCAGUGAGGAAUAUUGGUCAAUGGACGAGAGUCUGCACCAGCCAAGUAGCGUGAAGGAUGACUGCACUAUGGGUUGUAAACCUCUUUUAUAUGGGAAUAAAACAGGGUAUGCAUACCCACUUGUAUGUACCAUAUGAAUAAGGAUCGGCUAACUCCGUGCCAGCAGCCGCGGUAAUACGGAGGAUCCGAGCGUUAUCCGGCUUUAUUGGGUUUAAAGGGAGCGUAGGCGGUUUGUUAAGUCAGUUGUUAAAGUCCGCGGCUCAACCGUAAACUUGCAGUUGAAACUGGCAGUCUUGAGUACGAUAGAGGUGUGCGGAAUGCGUGGUGUAGCGGUGAAAUGCAUAGAUAUCACGAAGAACUCCGAUUGCGAAGGCAGCACGCUGGACUGACACUGACGCUGAUGCUCGAAAGUGUGGGUAUCGAACAGGAUUAGAUACCCUUGUAGUC
rnacentral:rRNA from 1 species